AUCACCUGGGGAAUCUUGUUAAAAUGCAAACUCUGAUUCAUUAUUUCUGGAGUGGGGCCUGAGAAUCUGCAUUUGUAACAAGCUCCUAGGUGAUGCUGA
rnacentral:pre_miRNA from 1 species